rnacentral:rRNA from 1 species
AGGACGAACGCUGGCGGCGUGCUUAACACAUGCAAGUCGAGCGAGGCCCUGCCUUCGGGCAGGUGACCUAGCGGCGAACGGGUGAGUAACACGUGGGCAACCUACCCUCAGCUCUGGGAUAACCCCGGGAAACCGGAGCUAAUACCGGAUACGACCUUGGAGGACAUCCUCCUUGGUGGAAAGUUUUUCGGCUGAGGAUGGGCCCGCGGCCUAUCAGCUAGUUGGUGGGGUCAAGGCCCACCAAGGCGACGACGGGUA